rnacentral:rRNA from 1 species
AUUGAACGCUGGCGGCAGGCUUAACACAUGCAAGUCGAGCGAGCGGCGGACGGGUGAGUAAUGUCUGGGAAACUGCCUGAUGGAGGGGGCUAACUACUGGAAACGGUAGCUAAUACCGCAUACCAUCAGAUGUGCCCAGAGGGGAUUAGCUAGUAGGGGGGGUAAUGGCUCACAUAGACGACCAUCCCUAUCUGGUCUGAGAGGAUGACCGGCAACACGGGAACUGAGACACGUUCCAGACUCCUACGUGAGGCACCAGUGGGGAAUAUUGCACAAUGGUCGCAAGCCUGAUGCAGCCAUGCCGCGUGUGUGAAGAAGGCCUUCGGGUUGUAAAGCACUUUCAGCGAGGAGGCGUUACUCGCAGAAGAAGCACCGGCUAACUCCGUGCCAGCAGCCGCGGUAAUAC